GGCUGAUUGCCACUGAGGAAGGAUCUCUUCUUGGAGAUCUCUCUUUGUGGAGUUUUUGCAAGCCUACAACACUGCUUUUUGAUCAAAGAAAUAGAUGGAAGAGUAGCAGACCACUUAAUGAUUCAGAUCUUAAUCCACUGUAGCUCCCACUCCCCUACACAUGUACUGUGUGUGUGUCCUCCAUAAUGAGAUGACAUGAGUACAUCUUCCUUUUUGGUGUGGAACAGGAAAGGGUGGAAGACUUCAGGAGGAGCUACUGCUUAUGCCUGUGAAGGUGAAUCAGCUCGGCAGGAUACUGAGUGAGCACAAACAGCACUGGCAAAUAUCGACAUGUAAAUGGAGAGCAUGUUCCAGCCUAUUUACUUCUAAAAAUCAUUCUUAAGGUCUUCCACCUUACCACCUUGUACCAUGAAUCUGAAAUAUAAAUACAUUUGGAACUGUGUUUUUAUUAUUAAGUAUUGAUAAAUACUAAAAGAGAAUGAUUUGUGAAAAUUAGUUUCCUGAAUCAAUGCUUUGUUUUGUAUGUACUAAUUCAAUGGAAUGAAACGCAUUUUGUUAAGGGGAUUUUAAAGGACCACUUGGAACAUGAAAUAACUAUUCACUGCAUUUCCUACUGAAGGAAGAAAAGCAUGAUUCAAAUCAGUUAAGCAGAAGCUAAAUAAAACCUAGACCAUUUGCAUUCUUCAAGAUGACAACAGUAAAGACAUCUUGUCACUGUGUUGGUAUCAGUUUACAUUGAGUUGAAUGAUCCAGACCAGUACUUCCAUUCCUUCAUUCUCUAAUGUCCUUCAAGAAGGACAAGAGAUACUGAUAUUGCUUCAGUACUAACUCAGAGGAAGUGACUUAAAUGUAUUUAAAUUCAGGCUGCAUGUUGUUGAAAGAAACUUUAUUUUCUUGCUUUUUUUAUGUAGGCUGUUUGCACAGUUUUAAUUGAUGUAAGAAUAUUAGAGUUCUGUUUUAUGGCUACUUGGAAUACUGAAUUCCCUCUGAAUACAAAUUACAACAAUUUACAGGUAGCCUUUAGUAUUAGUUGGCCAUAUCCAUCUUGUAGUUAUAAUACAUUUGCAGACUCAAGCUUUCUGGAUUAAUGCAUUCUACCAGAGGACUUUGAGUUUAACUGCAUGCUUUUAAUACUAUGAUCUUGGAUCACAGGAGGAUUAUCCCGUUUAUGAAUCUAUCAGUAAGACUUUUGCUAUUGGAAAGAGACUGUUUUCCUUCCAUAGGAGGAUCAACUCAUGAUGUUCUUCACUAUCUUGAAUAUCUGUCUGAAAUAUCUUUGUAAGAGCCCAAACUGACAAAAGAUGCUAAAAAGAAUUCAUGUAGGCUCUUUUGUAACUCAGCACUUUACAUAGGCAAUGGGACUAUUGUGAGUAGGAGGAGAACUCAGAAUCACCAUAAUCAUAUAUAUUUUUUUGGUCAAAUGUUUAAAAUAUGUAUUUUGGGUCUAUCUGGAUUUUUUCUCAUAGCAUCAUUGAAGUGCAUUCCUUGAAGUGAAAGUAGCAUUGUACUUGGUACAAUAAUGUGUCCUAGGUUCUGUACCAUUUUAUUAAUGUCAAGUGACUGUUAUCCCUAGAAGUAUCCAAGUCCAUCAAAGACUGACUGGAAAAAGAUGAAGCAGAACCAGAAUCUGAUUCCACUCUUGAUAGGAGACUUGUAAUAUGCAGAAACUUACAAUAAUGUGUAGUUACUUUGCCACUAGUGGUGUGUUUGGGAGGGAAAUGUAGAAUUUCUUUACUUGGAGUCUCCUUUGGUUUGUCUUGUAAACAUAAAUGCCUACCAGCUUCAUUUGACUUGCUAACGAAUACUGCUCUUCUUGGUGUUGUUCUGAUUUGGAGGUUCAUGAUUCUGUUUUUUUCUGUAAAAGGCAGAAUUAUACUGCAAACCUUAAAAAGAUAACACUGCUUUGUUCUCUCAAUUCAUAUUCAAAUCUCAUUAUUUAAAUAUAAAAUACAAGUAAACUUUGAGAGCUAAAUUUAAAGCAUUUACUGAAGUUUUAAAAGUAAAAAAAAAAAAACUUUAAAAGUAAACCAUUCACUAAAAAUCAAAGGAGAAAUAGAAAUUUGGUAGGUUUUUUUAAGAUUAUAAGCUUGGGGGAAAAGUUUUUCAUUUGAGUAAUCUUGUCAGUCUUGUGUGCCUUUCAGACCACUGAGUAAAAACUUGGAAACAAUAUAGCCAUUAGCACCAUUGUCUACUUCUGCAGAUGUGGUGGCUGUUACCCUCCUGUUAGGAAUUUAAUAUUACAGCUGUUCUUAUAAUGCUGGCUUCUCUAGAAGGAUUCAGCUUUUGUACUUAAUAUACAACUGUUGGAUGAGAAGGUGAUUCUGUCUGAGUUUUCCUUGAAGAUGAUGAUUCCCAGCUGGAGCAAAUGGAAGAUUUUUAGAAAUUCUUAUCACAGUCAUCAGCUGAAAACAGAUUGCUAACAUAUCUUUCUGUGUAUUUGCAGAGCAUUUUCACAGGUUCACAAGGAAAGACAAGUUAAUCUUGAAUCCAUUUACAUGAAUACUGAAGAACUCUGCAGACUUGCAGAGGGGCUAUUACAUCUAAUAUCUCCCAGUAAUUCACAGCAAUUUCUAUGUGUAAUUCAGUAAUCCUGGUUUAUCCUAGGGAACACAGAAACCUACAGAAGAUUUUUCUUCAGAAACAGAAAUAUUCCUUCUGAAUAAGCCUAGCUGUUAAGGUUUGUGUCAGCAUCUUGUAUAUGUGGUUUGAUGGGAGUGGUACCUGCAGUAUGAUGAUGGUGCCUAGUGUGGAAGUGCUCAUUGGGUAAUCAUUAGCAAUUCACUGUUUCUGGUCAGGAGUGCAAGUCUUAGCAGUGUAAUUUGAAAAGCCAGACUGUAGUGGGCAGAGAAGGAAAAGCCCAUCAGCACCUGAAACCUUAUUAGGGAGGUCUGGAAAUCGGAGGCAGUACUUCCAAGUUUCAAACCCACAUUUUAAGCCUCUGCAGCUGUCAGGAUGCCUCUUCUUAUUAUGCUAUGUGUGCCCCUUAGUGCAAGUGGAGACUGGAGCAUGUAGCCUAAGGUAACACAAGAUAGCAUCAGGAUGAAAACGUAUUUUCUUUCACUGAACUAUUAAUCUCUUGUACUUGCUACUACCACAUUGUACACAGUUACAAAUGCUGUGUUAUGCUCAGAGCAUUUGCACCACGGGAUGGGGGGAAUGUUCUUUAUUCUGGUAAUGAUUAGAUGAGAAAGACUGCGUGAAGAGAUGGAGGUUGUUAGCUGGUGAUUACUUUGCUGGGAAUAGAAAAAUGAGAGAAAGUUGAAAAGGCCUGUUGAUUCUACUGUCUGGAUAAGGGAAGGAUCAAGCUGUAGACAGCCUUAUCAGUGGGCUUCUUGCUGAGCAGGAGCACUAUGAAACACAUGAAGUACCCUCCAAGCAGUAAGGUGUGUCCUCCACUGAGCACUCAAAAUCAGCAAGAAAAAAUGAAACGUGGCUUCAUGCAGUGCCCUCUGAGGCAAAAAAAAAAAAAAGAGACAUAGAGAAUUUAUUGGCUUCUCCCUGUUAUACAUGAAUGUCUGUUUUCAGAGUAUGUUGGCACAAAGCAUUCAGAAGGGAAUGUGGACUCCUGGGAAGCUCUUAAAAGCACAUCACUGCUGUUCAGUAUACAGCUGCAUUACUCAGAUUUAUAAAAUUUGGACUGGCCACUGAUAGAGGAGAUGAGUGGUAGUGAUGUGCUACAAAUGCUGUGGCUUAAGUAUUGAUAUAUGAACAGCAUGUCAGUGUUUGUCCUUUGUAUCUGCAGUGCCUGAGGAAGUGAGGCAGGAACUGGACAGAAACCAAACCAAAAUAUCAUGCAAAUGGACAGGGCACCUUUUAGGUGUGUACAGCAAGUGUGAAUAAGUGGCUCUGAGUAUCUACUAAAGCUUGGUUGUCUCAAGCAACUCAGUGGCUAUGGAAGAGGCCAGAACUCUCUGGUUACCUACCAGAGUGGCUGUUGCCUCUGUGCCUUGAAAUACGUGGCAGUUCUGCUGGCCAGGUAACAGUGACUAGUGGAUUUCUGUGUCUGCUUUCUGCUUCUGUGAGCAGGUAAAUGGAUCGAAGAUGAGCAUUGUGUGUGCAACUGAAUUUUUCAUUAAUUUCUCUGAAGAAAAUGAAGCAUUUGUAUUCUUUAGAACUGCUGAGCUUUAUAAUAGUGAAGUCUGUUUCCUUUAUCAGAAUAAUUUUAUUUCAUAUUCAGGACACCGUUUGUUUUCAUCAAAUAUAUUGGUAUAUUGAUCAAAAUUUGAAGUUGGAGGUCCCACUGGUACAUGCACAAUGAGUAAAAUCUGAGAAAGGUUCAAUGAAACUGAAUAUAAGCACAUAGUUACAUAAGUUACAUUACACACACUUCAAAGUUGCAUUUAUUUUAAAUCCGUCAUAAUGUGCGUUACUCUUGACUGAAUUCUGGUAAGAUAAAUGUACCUGGGUAUUCUGGCAAAACAACAUGUAGGGACUAUUACAUUACACAACAGUAAAUGUUGUUACUAGUGGCGAGCUUUUUGUUUUGAAGUCCAUGCUGCUUCAGAAAAUAUUUCCCUAAGCCUUCAGCUAAGGACAUAUUGGGUCUUCCUGUGAUUGUUUUCGCUUGUUUAAAUGUACAUACACAUUUACUCUGUACAUGGUCUGGGAAAGUAGUAAAAUUACUUUGCAGUCUGAAAUUUUGUUGACUGUAUGCUAUUAAUAAUUUCUGAGAAUGACCCAUCUGUCUUGUAAUUUGUGUCUUAUCUUUGGAUGCUAACUAGAGCUUAUGCAAAAUUAAUAUUAUUUCAUUGUCUUGCUGUACCACUUGUCCAUACUCUCCUUUUCCUAAUCCCAAUGUGAUUCAGAAGCUAAGAGAGUAUUCUUAUCUUGACAGGGUAUCCUGAACAACAUACAUAUAUACCUGCCAGCAUCACAGGUCUCUAUUCAAAUUCUUUUCUAACUAGCUAAAAGUGCUGCAUUAUGUUUCCAAGAGAAAUUUCUGAACCAAAUUUAUAGUCUUUAAACUUCAUCUUAAACCUAAGUAAUUUACUGAGCUAAAUUAUUUGGAUCAGAGUCAAUGGCUUUUAUUGUUAGAAAAAAUAACAGCAAUGAAACAUCAGGUGUAAGACUAACAAGAUAAGUUUAUUAGCCAACACUGUAGUUCUUCUCCUGAUGUAAAUCACAAGCAUCUCCCAGGUACCACUUCAUAGAAAUGUGUUAUUGGGGAUUAAAAGCAGUUGUUGCAACACAAUAGAAGACCAUGCUCAAUAAAUAAAAGACUUAGCUUGUGAGGGGCCUGCUGAUGAAAGGGACUGACUUCCUCCUCAUAUACUUAUUGGUGAGAUAAGUUUUGCCAUAAUCUUCAAAUUCACAUGGAGGAGAAUGUCAGUGAAAUGGUAUUAUUACUAAAUAAAAACUAAAUUUGCCUUUUCAAUUACAGGCUCAUUCUUUCCAGGCUGGAGUAAUAGAGCAAAAAUAAUGAUUAAUAGGCUUACCACAAUGCUGUACACAAAAUAUUCAGUCAAAACCCUAGAG
ensembl:lncRNA